rnacentral:rRNA from 1 species
UUCUAAAUGCAGUCUAGCGGUAGAGAGAANCUUGCUUCUCUUGAGAGCGGCGGACGGGUGAGUAAUGCCUAUCGAAUCUGCCUGGUAGUGGGGGAUAACGUUCGGAAACGGACGCUAAUACCGCAUACGUCCUACGGGAGAAAGCANGGGACCUUCGGGCCUUGCGCUAUCAGAUGAGCCUAGGUCGGAUUANCUAGUUGGUGGGGUAAUGGCUCACCNAGGCGACGAUCCGUAACUGGUCUGANAGGAUGAUCAGUCACACUGGAACUGAGACACGGUCCANACUCCUACGGGAGGCAGCAGUGGGGAAUAUUGGACAAUGNNCGAAAGCCUGAUCCAGCCAUGCCGCGUGUGUGAAGAAGGUCUUCGGAUUGUAAAGCACUUUAAGUUGGGAGGAAGGGUUGUAGAUUAAUACUCUGCAAUUUUGACGUUACCGACAGAAUAAGCACCGGCUAACUCUGUGCCAGCAGCCGCGGUAAUACAGAGGGUGCAAGCGUUAAUCGGAAUUACUGGGCGUAAAGCGCGCGUAGGUGGUUAGUUAAGUUGGAUGUGAAAUCCCCGGGCUCAACCUGGGAACUGCAUUCAAAACUGACUGACUAGAGUAUGGUAGAGGGUGGUGGAAUUUCCUGUGUAGCGGUGAAAUGCGUAGAUAUAGGAAGGAACACCAGUGGCGAAGGCGACCACCUGGACUGAUACUGACACUGAGGUGCGAAAGCGUGGGGAGCAAACAGGAUUANAUACCCUGGUAGUCCACGC